rnacentral:rRNA from 1 species
UACAGAGGUCUCAAGCGUUGUUCGGAUUCAUUGGGCGUAAAGGGUGCGUAGGCGGCCAGAUAAGUCCGGUGUGAAAGUCACAGGCUCAACCUGUGAAUGCCGCUGGAAACUGUCUGGCUCGAGUCCGGGAGGGGCGAGUGGAAUUCCUGGUGUAGCGGUGAAAUGCGUAGAUAUGUGGAGGAACACCAAUGGCGAAGGCAGCUCGCUGGGACGUGACUGACGCUGAGACGGCGAAAGCGUUGGGGAGCAAACAGG